rnacentral:rRNA from 1 species
GACGAACGCUGGCGGCGUGCUUAACACAUGCAAGUCGAACGGAAAGGCCCUGCUUUUGUGGGGUGCUCGAGUGGCGAACGGGUGAGUAACACGUGAGUAACCUGCCUUUGACUUUGGGAUAACUUCAGGAAACUGGGGCUAAUACCGGAUAGGAGCUCCUGCUGCCUGGUGGGGGUUGGAAAGUUUCGGCGGUUGGGGAUGGACUCGCGGCUUAUCAGCUUGUUGGUGGGGUAGUGGCUUACCAAGGCUUUGACGGGUAGCCGGCCUGAGAGGGUGACCGGCCACAUUGGGACUGAGAUACGGCCCAGACUCCUACGGGAGGCAGCAGUGGGGAAUAUUGCACAAUGGGCGGAAGCCUGAUGCAGCAACGCCGCGUGCGGGAUGACGGCCUUCGGGUUGUAAACCGCUUUCGCCUGUGACGAAGCGUGAGUGACGGUAAUGGGUAAAGAAGCACCGGCUAACUACGUG